rnacentral:rRNA from 1 species
UGGGGAAUUUUGGACAAUGGGGGCAACCCUGAUCCAGCAACGCCGCGUGAAGGAUGAAGUAUUUCGGUAUGUAAACUUCGAAAGAAUAGGAAGAAUAAAUGACGGUACUAUUUAUAAGGUCCGGCUAACUACGUGCCAGCAGCCGCGGUAAUACGUAGGGACCAAGCGUUGUUCGGAUUUACUGGGCGUAAAGGGCGCGUAGGCGGCAAUUCAAGUCAUCUGUGAAAUCUCCGGGCUUAACUCGGAACGGUCAGAUGAUACUGCUUUGCUAGAGUGCAGAAGGGGCAAUCGGAAUUCUUGGUGUAGCGGUGAAAUGCGUAGAUAUCAAGAGGAACACCUGAGGUGAAGACGGGUUGCUGGGCUGACACUGACGCUGAGGCGCGAAAGCCAGGGGAGCAAACGGGAUUAGAUACCCCAGUAGUCCCUGAGCGGGCUGGCAAGGCGCAU